AUUGAACGCUGGCGGCAGGCCUAACACAUGCAAGUCGAGCGGAUGAAGAGAGCUUGCUCUCUGAUUCAGCGGCGGACGGGUGAGUAAUGCCUAGGAAUCUGCCUGGUAGUGGGGGACAACGUUUCGAAAGGAACGCUAAUACCGCAUACGUCCUACGGGAGAAAGUGGGGGAUCUUCGGACCUCACGCUAUCAGAUGAGCCUAGGUACGAUUAGCUAGUUGGUGAGGUAAAGGCUCACCAAGGCGACGAUCGUUAACUCGUCUGAGAGGAUGAUCAGUCACACUGGAACUGAGACACGGGCCAGACUCCUACGGGAGGCAGCAGUGGGGAAUAUUGGACAAUGGGCGAAAGCCUGAUCCAGCCAUGCCGCGUGUGUGAAGAAGGUCUUCGGAUUGUAAAGCACUUUAAGUUGGGAGGAAGGGCAGUAAGUUAAUACCUUGCUGUUUUGACGUUACCGACAGAAUAAGCACCGGCUAACUUCGUGCCAGCAGCCGCCGUAACAC
rnacentral:rRNA from 1 species